CAGUCGCCGCGGGAAAACGUAGGUGGCAAGCGUUGUCCGGAAUUAUUGGGCGUAAAGGGCUCGCAGGCGGUUUCUUAAGUCUGAUGUGAAAGCCCCCGGCUCAACCGGGGAGGGUCAUUGGAAACUGGGAAACUUGAGUGCAGAAGAGGAGAGUGGAAUUCCACGUGUAGCGGUGAAAUGCGUAGAGAUCGGAAGGAACGCCCGUGGCGAAAGCGAGGCCCUGGACCCUUUCUGACGCUGAGACGCGAAAGCCAGGGGAGCGAACGGGAUUAGAUACCCCCGUAGUCCCUGUCUCUUAUAC
rnacentral:rRNA from 1 species